AGUGCACAGUCAUUGGCGGCAAUCUGCUCCCCAGGCUACCCAUUUACGGUAUAUUAUAAACUUAUUGGUCGUCGAUAUUGACUUGAAGUGAUAGUAUCGGUGGCCGUUUGGUGGGAUAUUUGCUCUCAUUUUCCUCUCUUCGUCGAGGGAUUUUUCAUCCCAGCAUACCCACGUAAAACAUUCAGCAUACCCUGGGGAAAAGGAUAUUAUAGAAUUGAGGAAAUGUUUGUCAUCUGGCUCCAAUAAAUGGAGAAACUAGCCAGUCUCACAACGAAAUUUUGCGGUUUCUUAUUUGUUUGCAGAGACCAAGAAUCGGUAUCGGGGUAUACAAAUGGCCAUACUCCGGUCGACAAGCAACAAGUCUUCAAACGCCAGCAACAUGUAUGAAAUGACGUGACAUUCCAUACUCACUGACGUUUCAUACCUUGUUUUAUACACAGUACAAUAAAAAGGAGUUGUAAAAAUUAGCAUAUCUUGUUGAAAAUUGA